GGUACAUCGCCUCGGUGCAGGGCUCC
rnacentral:piRNA from 1 species